GACGUAGGGUGCGAGCGUUGUCCGGAUUUAUUGGGCGUAAAGAGCUCGUAGGCGGCUCGUCGCGUCGGCUGUGAAAACCCGUGGCUUAACUGCGGGCUUGCAGCUGAUACGGGCGGGCUAGAGUUCGGUAGGGGGAGACUGGAAUUCCUGGUGUAGCGGUGAAAUGCGCAGAUAUCAGGAGGAACACCGGUGGCGAAGGCGGGUCUCUGGGCCGAUACUGACGCUGAGGCGCGAAAGCGUGGGGAGCAAACAGG
rnacentral:rRNA from 1 species